rnacentral:sRNA from 1 species
AAUGAUACUUCUGCCGAAAGCAAGCUCGCCGAGAGGCGGGAUGUGUUGUUUAAGACGGAAAGAAUGUCUAGUUGCAGCACAU